UACGGGGGGGGCAAGCGUUGUUCGGAAUUACUGGGCGUAAAGGGCUCGUAGGUGGCCAACUAAGUCAGACGUGAAAUCCCCAGGCUCAACCUGGGAACUGCGUCUGAUACUGGAUGGCUUGAAUUCGGGAGAGGGAUGCAGAAUUCCAGGUGUAGCGGUGAAAUGCGUAGAUAUCUGGAGGAAUACCGGUGGCGAAGGCGGCAUCCUGGACCGGCAUUGACGCUGAAGCGCGAAAGCUAGGGGAGCAAACGGG
rnacentral:rRNA from 1 species